CCCUGAUUCUUGCUGCAGUGAUA
rnacentral:miRNA from 14 species